GGGAAGAGCUCAAAUUUUGAAUCUGGCGGCCUUCGGUCCGUCCGAGUUGUAAUCUAGAGAAGCGUCUUCCGCGCUGGACCGUGUAUAAGUCUCCUGGAAGGGAGCGUCGUAGAGGGUGAGAAUCCCGUCUUUGACACGGACUGCCAGUGCUAUGUGAUGCGCUCUCGACGAGUCGAGUUGUUUGGGAAUGCAGCUCAAAACGGGUGGUAAAUUCCAUCUAAAGCUAAAUACAGGCGAGAGACCGAUAGCGAACAAGUACCGUGAGGGAAAGAUGAAAAGAACUUUGGAAAGAGAGUUAAACAGUACGUGAAAUUGCUGAAAGGGAAACGCUUGAUGUCAGUCGCGUCGCCCGGGGAUCAACCUUGCUUCUCGCUGGGUGUACUUCCCGGUCGACGGGUCAGCAUCAGUUUCGGUCGCCGUACAAGGGUGAGGGGAACGUGGCACCCUUCGGGGUGUGUUAUAGCCUCUCGUCGUAUGCGGCGGUCAGGACUGAGGAACUCGGCACGGCUUCACGCUUGUGCUUAGGAUGCUGGCAUAAUGGCCUUAAGCGACCCGUCUUGAAACACGGACCAAGGAGUCUAACAUGCCUGCGAGUGUUUGGGUGACAAACUCGAGCGCGUAAUGAAAGUGAAAGUUGAGACCUCUGUCGUGGAGGGCAUCGACGCCCGGACCUGAGUCUUUGACGACGGAUCUGCGGUAGAGCAUGCAUGUUGGGACCCGAAAGAUGGUGAACUAUGCCUGAAUAGGGUGAAGCCAGAGGAAA
rnacentral:rRNA from 1 species